rnacentral:lncRNA from 1 species
GCAUCCAGCAUCUUCCUCUUUCCUUCUUGUCCCCAGUCUGUAACAUACAUUAGGAUUUUUCUUAAUGGAAAUGUGUUUGGACUACAUGUUCAGUGGCCAUACAUCUGGAUUUUCAGGGCAGCUGAGUGACUGAAUGCAGAAGAAAAGCAAAACACCACUCUUUGGAAGCUGAAUGAUUGCCUGCUCAUGUCUUAUACCACUUCUACAUAAAAUGACCAGUGUCCUCCCCUGG